rnacentral:rRNA from 1 species
GACGAACGCUGGCGGCGUGCUUAACACAUGCAAGUCGAACGAAGUGGCGAACGGGUGAGUAACGCGUAAUCAACCUGCCCUUCAGAGGGGGACAACAGUUGGAAACGACUGCUAAUACCGCAUACUGAAGGAGGGGAUUGCGUCUGAUUAGCUAGUUGGAGGGGUAACGGCCCACCAAGGCGAUGAUCAGUAGGCGGGCUGGGAGGGUGGACGGCACCAUUUGGACUGGGGAACGGCCCAGGACCCUACGGGGGGCAGCAGUGGGGAAUCUUCCGCAAUGGGCGAAAGUCUGACGGAGCAACACCGCGUGAGUGAUGACGGCCUUCGGGUUGUAAAGCUCUGUUAAUCGGGACGCGGUACCGGAAUAGAAAGCCACGGCUAACUACGUGCCAGCAGCCGCGGUAAUAC